AACCCGUGAUGUGGACAGUCUCUCUGAUAUCCCUUGAACCUCUCCAACGCAGCUUUGAAAGUUUCAGUCGGACCCUGAACAAACGUGGAGAUCUUAGCAUGGAGAUC
rnacentral:snoRNA from 1 species